UACGUAGGGACCGAGCGUUGUCCGGAUUCAUUGGGCGUAAAGAGCUCGUAGGCGGCCACUCAAGUCGAAUGUGAAACCUCGAGGCUUAACCUCGAGCCUGCAUUUGAUACUGGGCGGCUAGAGUCUGGUAGGGGGAUCUGGAAUUCCUGGUGUAGCGGUGGAAUGCGCAGAUAUCAGGAGGAACACCGGUGGCGAAGGCGGGAUCCUGGGCCAGUACUGACGCUGAGGAGCGAAAGCGUGGGGAGCAACAGG
rnacentral:rRNA from 1 species